rnacentral:tRNA from 1 species
CCUCUCGUAGCAUAUUGGUUAGUGCAGUCGCUUGAUAAGCGGCCGAAGUGGGUUCGAUUCCCAACGAGAGGACCG